rnacentral:lncRNA from 1 species
CUCACAACUGGCCUAGCUCCCCUCUCUCCGUGUGCCAGGCCCACCAACACACGCGAAACACACACCACAAUAAAGAACCACAACAUACCACCGCUCAGAACUUGAAAGGGACGCAAACGCGUGGAAAAUUACUUGGCAAGAAUACCGUAGGACCAUUGUGAUUGGGUCACUCAAGUGUGUGAUGUUCGGUGUUGGAGCA